rnacentral:piRNA from 1 species
UUCUUUCCAAGGCAAAAUAUCAUGAGUGCAG